rnacentral:sRNA from 1 species
AGGAUUGAACGAGUGAGGGUUGGAGAAUCUAAUCCAAGUGCAACAAUGAC